AGGAUAAACGCUGGCGGCGUGCAUGAGACAUGCAAGUCGAACGGACACUUGGGGCUUGCUCCAAGUGUUAGUGGCGGACGGCUGAGUAACGCGUAGGUGACCUGCCCCGAAGUGGGGAAUAACUGCCCGAAAGGGUGGCUAAUACCGCAUGUGGUGGUGUGUUCAUUCACACCAGUAAAGCCGCAAGGCGCUUCGGGAGGGGCCUACGUCCGAUUAGCUCGUUGGUGGGGUAACGGCUCACCAAGGCGACGAUCGGUAGGUGGUCUGAGAGGACGAUCACCCAGACUGGGACUGAGACACGGCCCAGACUCCUACGGGAGGCAGCAGUCGGGAAUUUUGCGCAAUGGACGAAAGUCUGACGCAGCAACGCCGCGUGAGGGAUGAAGGCCUUCGGGUUGUAAACCUCUUUUAUCAGGGAAGAUAAUGACGGUACCUGAUGAAUAAGUCACGGCUAACUACGUGCCAGCAGCCGC
rnacentral:rRNA from 1 species